rnacentral:rRNA from 1 species
CCCUUAGAUGUCCUGGGCCGCACGCGCGCUACACUGAUGCAUUCAACGAGUAUUUCCUUGGCCGAGAGGCCUGGGCAAUCUUUUAAACCUGCAUCGUGAUAGGGAUAGAUUAUUGCAAUUAUUAAUCUUGAACGAGGAAUUCCUAGUAAACGCAAAUCAUCAAUUUGCAUUGAUUACGUCCCUGCCCUUUGUACACACCGCCCGUCGCACCUACCGAUUGAAUGGUCCGGUGAAAUCUCGGGAUUGUGGCCAGUUCACUUUAUUGGGAGUUGGCUGCGAGAACUUGCUUAAACCUUAUCAUUUAGAGGAAGGUGAAGUCGUAAC